rfam:Anopheles stephensi strain SDA-500 unplaced genomic scaffold supercont1.41, whole genome shotgun sequence.
GGUCCGGUGGCCGAGGCGACAACGGCGCCUGUCUUCAACACGGCAGGACCGGGGUUUAAAUCCCAUCCAGACCG